AAUCAACGCUGGCGGCGUGCCUAACACAUGCAAGUCGAGCGGGAAAGGGGGCCUCGGUCCCUGAGUAUAGCGGCGGACGGGUGAGUAACACGUGGGUAAUUUGCCCUUGGGUGUGGAAUAACUCAGGGAAACUUGAGCUAAUACCGCAUGACAUCCCCUUCACACACGAGUUGGGGAUCAAAGCCGGGGACCCUUCGGGGCCUGGCGCCUGAGGAGAAGCCCGCGCCCGAUUAGCUAGUGGUGAGGUAAUGGCUCACCAAGGCUUCGAUCGGUAGCCGGCCUGAGAGGGCGGACGGCCACACUGGGACUGAGACACGGCCCAGACUCCUACGGGAGGCAGCAGUGGGGAAUUUUUGUCAAUGGGGGAAACCCUGAACAAGCAACGCCGCGUGGAGGAUGAAGGUCUUCGGAUUGUAAACUCCUGUUGCUCGGGACGAAAGCUUCGACCUAAUACGUCGAAGUCUGACGGUACCGGGUGAGGAAGCCCGGCUAACUCUGUGCCAGCAGCCG
rnacentral:rRNA from 1 species